UGUUUUUAAGUUGACUUCGUGUUUCUAAGUUGACUUUGUGUUUCUAAGUUGACUUUGUGUUUUUAAGUUGACUUUGUGUUUCUAAGUUGACUUUGUGUUUCUAAGUUGACUUUGUGUUUUUAAGUUGACUUUGUGUUUCUAAGUUGACUUUGUGUUUCUAAGUUGACUUUGUGUUUCUAAGUUGACUUUGUGUUUCUAAGUUGACUUUGUGUUUUUAAGUUGACUUUGUGUUUCUAAGUUGACUUUGUGUUUCUAAGUUGACUUUGUGUUUCUAAGUUGACUUUGUGUUUUUAAGUUGACUUUGUGUUUCUAAGUUGACUUUGUGUUUCUAAGUUGACUUUGUGUUUCUAAGUUGACUUUGUGUUUCUAAGGUGACUUUGUGUUUCUAAGUUGACUUUGUGUUUCUAAGUUGACUUUGUGUUUCUAAGUUGACUUUGUGUUUCUAAGGUGACUUUGUGUUUUUAAGUUGACUUUGUGUUUUUAAGUUGACUUUGUGUUUCUAAGUUGACUUUGUGUUUUUAAGUUGACUUUGUGUUUCUAAGUUGACUUUGUGUUUCUAAGUUGACUUUGUGUUUUUAAGUUGACUUUGUGUUUCUAAGUUGACUUUGUGUUUCUAAGUUGACUUUGUGUUUCUAAGUUGACUUUGUGUUUCUAAGUUGACUUUGUGUUUUUAAGUUGACUUUGUGUUUCUAAGUUGACUUUGUGUUUCUAAGUUGACUUUGUGUUUUUAAGUUGACUUUGUGUUUCUAAGUUGACUUUGUGUUUCUAAGUUGACUUUGUGUUUUUAAGUUGACUUUGUGUUUUUAAGUUGACUUUGUGUUUCUAAGUUGACUUUGUGUUUCUAAGUUGACUUUGUGUUUUUAAGUUGACUUUGUGUUUCUAAGUUGACUUUUGUUUCUAAGUUGACUUUGUGUUUCUAAGUUGACUUUGUGUUUUUAAGUUGACUUUGUGUUUUUAAGUUGACUUUAUAUUUCUAAGCUAACGUAUUUCACAGACCUUGCGGUGUACUCUGACUUUCACAUGUAAAAUACAUGUAAGUGCUUUUUUCUACCACACUUUGAUUGUACAGUGUUGCUUGUAUGAUUUCCGGGUACAGCAUGUAUUUUAAACUUUUCUAAAUGAUAACUGUACAUAAUCUGUACGAGCAUGAGGAUUAGCAGGUUUAGCGUGUAUGUAUAUAAACGAGCUGUAAGUUUCUGAAGGGAAACACUUGAAAAUCACCAGAUAUCGGAGAAACUCUGCGAUGCAUUUUUUUGUGCCUUUUAUAUGACAUAUAUAAUCUAGACAAUCCUCAAAUGCUUGUGUGAAACCAAAAUGACAUUAAAAUGGUUUUGG